rnacentral:rRNA from 1 species
GACGAACGCUGGCGGCGUGCUUAACACAUGCAAGUCGAACGAAGUGGCGAACGGGUGAGUAACGCGUAAUCAACCUGCCCUUCAGAGGGGGACAACAGUUGGAAACGACUGCUAAUACCGCAUACUGAAGGAGGGGAUUGCGUCUGUUUAGCUAGUUGGGGGGGUAACGGCCCCCCAAGCCGAUGAUCAGUAGCCGUGCUGAGUGGAGGAACGGGCAAAAUGGGACUGAGACACGGGCCAGACUCCUACGGGAGGCAGCAGUGGGGAAUCUUCCGCAAUUGACCGAAAUCUGACUGAGCAACCCCGCGUGAGUGAUGACGGGCUUCGGGUUGUAAAGCUCUGUUUAUCGGGAAGCGGUACCGGAAUAGAAAGCCACGGCUAACUACGUGCCAGCAGCCGCGGUAAUAC